AAUUUUAAUUUUUCCAUAAAAAAUAAGGUAAAAUUUUAUUGGAUUAUUCAAUUUUCUUCAUCUUAAUUAGCUCAUAAGAACAUAUAUCAUUUGAAUUAAUGCAUAUGGGUCUCUUCUAUCUAACUGGAACUUUGAAUUGAAAAAUCAACGCAGAUACAGCCCUUGUCAUGUGAAAAAUGAUAUAUUAACUAAAAUUCUUUCUAUAUGUCAGACUAGAAAAAGGAAAAAAAGAAAAAAUCAAAAGCUUCGCGUGCUUGGUGGUAUCAAUUUGUCAAAACUGCGACUUGUUUUUGAAGUUGGAUGAUCACAUUGUACCUCUAGAAAUUAAG
rnacentral:misc_RNA from 1 species